GUCUAUGGCCAUGCCACCCUGAACAAGCCUGAUAUCUGAUCUCAAAAGCUAAUCAGGGUCGGGCCUGGUUAGUACUUGGAUGGGAGACCACCUAGGAAGACCAUGUGCUGUAGGUA
rnacentral:rRNA from 1 species